AUUGAACGCUGGCGGCAGGCCUAACACAUGCAAGUCGAGCGAGCGGCGGACGGGUGAGUUAUGCCUGGGAAUUGCCCAGUCGAGGGGGCUAACAGUUGGAAACGACUGCUAAUACCGCAUACGAUUGGAUUACCCAGGUGUGAUUAGCUAGUUGGUGAGGUAAUGGCUCACCAAGGCGACGAUCCCUAGCUGGUCUGAGAGGAUGAUCAGCCACACUGGAACUGGGACACGGUCCAGGCUCCUACGGAAGGCAGCAGUGGGGAAUAUUGCACAAUGGGGGAAACCCUGGUGCAGCCAUGCCGCGGGUGUGAAGAAAGCCUUGGGGUUGGAAAGCACUUUAAGCGAGGAGGCGUUACUCGCAGAAGAAGCACCGGCUAACUCCGUGACAGCAGCCGCGGUAAUAC
rnacentral:rRNA from 1 species